GGAGCUGUGGCUCAGUGGUAGAACAUCUUCUUGGCAUGCUGAAACUCCCAGGUGCAAUCCUUGGCAUCUCCC
rnacentral:tRNA from 1 species